UAAAAAUAAAUAAAUUUUAAAAAAGUAAAAAUAAAUCUCUCUGAUAAUCAUCUCAUUUCUUAAAUAAGUAAAGACUGAGUCAAAUUUUUCAAAAUAUACAUGUCAUCUUCAAUUGAUAAACAGUAAAAGCAUAUGAACAGGCAUUUUUCAGACAAAGAAAUCAAAGUUUAUCAUAAUGAAAACUAUUUCAAAUCACUAAUGAUCAAAGAAAUGGAGAAUAAAACAACUCUGAGCAAAGAAAUUUCCAAGAGAAGAUCACACAUGUUAGAGUGGCAACAGCGCCAAAUUUCUUCAGUGCCAGGUGUCUUGUCCUGAGGAGAACACAGGAGAAGCUUUGGAAAUAAAAACUUCCACUAAGGACAAGAAAAAUAAAGAAAAUUUAUUUGUUAAUGAUCUGUAAAAUUUAAAUGCUGAUGC
rnacentral:lncRNA from 1 species